rnacentral:rRNA from 1 species
AGUGAACGCUGGCGGCGUGCCUAACACAUGCAAGUCGAACGGAGUGGCGCACGGGUGUGUAAUGUAUAGCUAAUCUGCCCUACACUAGAGGACAACAGUUGGAAACGACUGCUAAUACUCUAUAGUGUAGGAUGAGGCUAUAUUGUAUCAGCUAGUUGGUGAGGUAAUGGCGCCCCAAGGCUAUGACGCAUAACUGGUCUGAGAGGAUGAUCAGUCGCACUGGAACUGAGGCACGGUCCGGGCUCCUACGGGAGGGAGCAAUAGGGAAUAUUGCUCAAUGGGGGAAACCCUGGAGGAGCAACGGCGCGUGGAGGAUGACACUUUGCGGAGCGUAAACUCCUUUUGUUAGGGAAGCGGUACCUAACGAAUAAGCACCGGCUAACUCCGUGCCAGCAGCCGCGGUAAUAC